rnacentral:rRNA from 1 species
AUUGAACGCUGGCGGCAGGCCUAACACAUGCAAGUCGAGCGGAUGAAGGGAGCUUACUCCUGGAUUCAGCGGCGGACGGGUGAGUAAUGCCUAGGAAUCUGCCUGGUAGUGGGGGAUAACGUCCGGAAACGGGCGCUAAUACCGCAUACGUCCUGAGGGAGAAAGUGGGGGAUCUUCGGACCUCACGCUAUCAGAUGAGCCUAGGUCGGAUUAGCUAGUUGGUGGGGUAAAGGCCUACCAAGGCGACGAUCCGUAACUGGUCUGAGAGGAUGAUCAGUCACACUGGAACUGAGACACGGUCCAGACUCCUACGGGAGGCAGCAGUGGGGAAUAUUGGACAAUGGGCGAGAGCCUGAUCCAGCCAUGCCGCGUGUGUGAAGAAGGUCUUCGGAUUGUAAAGCACUUUAAGUUGGGAGGAAGGGCAGUAAGUUAAUACCUUGCUGUUUUGACGUUACCAACAGAAUAAGCACCGGCUAACUUCGUG